CCUGACGGAGCAAUACCGCGUGAGGGAGGAAGGCUCUUGGGUUGUAAACCUCUUUUCUCAGGGAAUAAAAAAAUGAAGGUACCUGAGGAAUAAGCAUCGGCUAACUCCGUGCCAGCAGCCGCGGUAAUACGGAGGAUGCAAGCGUUAUCCGGAAUGAUUGGGCGUAAAGCGUCCGCAGGUGGCACUGUAAGUCUGCUGUUAAAGAGCAAGGCUCAACCUUGUAAAGGCAGUGGAAACUACAGAGCUAGAGUACGUUCGGGGCAGAGGGAAUUCCUGGUGUAGCGGUGAAAUGCGUAGAGAUCAGGAAGAACACCGGUGGCGAAAGCGCUCUGCUAGGCCGUAACUGACACUGAGGGACGAAAGCUAGGGGAGCGAAWGGGAUUAGAUAC
rnacentral:rRNA from 1 species